rnacentral:rRNA from 1 species
GACGUAGGGCGCGAGCGUUGUCCGGAUUUAUUGGGCGUAAAGAGCUCGUAGGCGGCUUGUCGCGUCGUCCGUGAAAACUUGGGGCUCAACCCCAAGCUUGCGGUCGAUACGGGCAGGCUAGAGUUCGGUAGGGGAGACUGGAAUUCCUGGUGUAGCGGUGAAAUGCGCAGAUAUCAGGAGGAACACCGGUGGCGAAGGCGGGUCUCUGGGCCGAUACUGACGCUGAGGAGCGAAAGCGUGGGGAGCGAACAGGAUUAGAUACCCUGGUAGUCCACGCUGUAAACGUUGGGCGCUAGGUGUGGGGGGCCUCUCCGGUUCUCUGUGCCGCAGCUAACGCAUUAAGCGCCCCGCCUGGGGAGUACGGCCGCAAGGCUAAA